rnacentral:rRNA from 1 species
AGCGAACGCUGGCGGCGUGCCUCAGACAUGCAAGUCGAACGAUUAAGACUCCCUUCGGGGAGUGCAUAAAGUGGCGCACGGGUGAGUAACACGUAAGUAAUCUACCUUCGAGUGGGGAAUAACGUUCGGAAACGAACGCUAAUACCGCAUAAUGCAGCGGCAUCGCAAGAUGACAGUUGCUAAAGGAAUUUAUUUCGCUUGAAGAGGAGCUUGCGGCAGAUUAGCUAGUUGGUAAGGUAACGGCUUACCAAGGCUACGAUCUGUAUCCGGCCUGAGAGGGCGGUCGGACACACUGACACUGAAUAACGGGUCAGACUCCUACGGGAGGCAGCAGUCGGGAAUGUUGGGCAAUGGGCGAAAGCCUGACCCAGCAACGCCGCGUGAAGGAUGAAGUAUUUCGGUAUGUAAACUUCGAAAGAAUGGGAAGAAUAAAUGACGGUACCAUUUAUAAGCUCCGGCUAACUACGUGCCAGCAGCCGCCGUAACAC